GAUGAACGCUGGCGGCGUGCUUAACACAUGCAAGUCGAACGAAGCACUUGAGAUUGAAUCUUCGGAUGAGAACUCUUGUGACUGAGUGGCGGACGGGUGAGUAACGCGUGGGUAACCUACCUCAUACAGGGGGAUAACAGUUGGAAACGACCGCUAAUACCGCAUAACCCGCUAGUAUCACAUGAUACAGACGGAAAAGAUUUAUCGGUAUGAGAUGGACCCGCGUCUGAUUAGCCAGUUGGCAGGGUAACGGCCUACCAAAGCGACGAUCAGUAGCCGGCCUGAGAGGGUGAACGGCCACAUUGGGACUGAGACACGGCCCAA
rnacentral:rRNA from 1 species